rnacentral:rRNA from 1 species
UACUCGAGUGGCGAACGGGUGAGUAACACGUGGGUGAUCUGCCCUGCACUUCGGGAUAAGCUUGGGAAACUGGGUCUAAUACCGGAUAGGAACCAUCUUUAGUGUGGUGGUUGGAAAGUUUUUUCGGUUGUAGGAUGAGCUCGCGGCCUAUCAGCUUGUUGGUGGGGUAAUGGCCUACCAAGGCGGCGACGGGUAGCCGGCCUGAGAGGGUGUACGGCCACAUUGGGACUGAGAUACGGCCCAG